rnacentral:sRNA from 12 species
CCUAUACAGAUGUAUCAACGCAAGACAGUUGAGCAUCUCCCUGUAGGAACAUGUUUUAAUAGAAGCAUUGACAACAAGUCUUAUUGAGUAGCUUGUGAGUUGAAAUAAGAUGAGUCAAUGUGGAAUAGGUUAGCCGUAAGACCUUUAGUUGAGAAACUAUAAAAUUGACCUAGAAACGAUUUAUGAAUCUUCGUUUUCUAGUUACGUCAAG